rnacentral:tRNA from 1 species
GGAGAGAUGUCCGAGUUGGCUUAAGGAGCACGAUUGGAAAUCGUGUAGGCGGCUAAUAACCGUCUCGGGGGUUCAAAUCCCCCUCUCUCCGCCA